rnacentral:rRNA from 1 species
UAGGGAAUCUUCCACAAUGGGCGAAAGCCNGAUGGAGCAACGCCGCGUGUGUGAUGAAGGGUUUCGGCUCGUAAAACACUGUUGUAAGAGAAGAAUGACAUUGAGAGUAACUGUUCAAUGUGUGACGGUAUCUUACCAGAAAGGAACGGCUAAAUACGUGUCAG